rnacentral:sRNA from 1 species
UCGGUUUGAAUAACAGACGAUAUACAAAGUAGUUUACUCAAGCAGUUCUCAUUUUCAGGUGUAAUCCGUUUAUCCCCUCUUUGAGUCUCUUCAUUAAGCACUACGAAGUUUCUGUCAUAAAAACCAAGCUUGCCGAAAGGCUCAAAUUAAGGAAUAAAUAUAUGUCUACUAAAAUGACUGGUUUAGUUAAAUGGUUCAAUCCUGAAAAAGGUUUUGGCUUCAUUACGCCUGCAGAUGGCAGCAAAGAUGUCUUUGUCCAUUUCUCAGCGAUUCAAAGUAAUGAGUUUAAGACGCUGAAUGAAAACCAGAAAGUCGAAUUCGGUGUGGAGCAGGGACCUAAAGGUCCAUCCGCAAUUAAUGUUGUGGCGCUUUGAGGUAACUAUUAUUACUA